GCGGAUGUGUCGUAAUUGGUAGCCGAGCCAGACUUAGGAUCUGGUGCGCAAGCGUGGGGGUUCGAGUCCCUUCAUCCGCA
rnacentral:tRNA from 3 species